AGGAGCAAACAUAUCAGCACUGAUGCACGAGAUUCCAUCAAAAUUCCGCAGUUAAGCGUGCUUGGGCGAGAAUAGAUAUAGCAUGGUCAUGGGUUGAUAUGG
rnacentral:rRNA from 1 species